rnacentral:lncRNA from 1 species
GAAUCCUCUCAGGUGUCCAGUCACCUGCUCCUCAGGAGAGAACUAGUGGCCCUUGAGAGUUUGUCCCUGACUCGGGAGCACCUCUUCCACCUCCCCAAGACUGUUCUGGUGAGCCGCUCCCUCCACCUUGGUGUUCUUCUGGUGACCCUUUGCCAGGGAGGCUCCUGGUGUGAUUUCCUCAGCUGUGUAACACGGGCACACUGGCAUUGCUGGUGCUCCACCCACUCCUCAGCGCUCUGCCUCAUCCUCUUGUGAGGUGGGUACUCUGGUGCCCCACUUCAUAGGUGAGGACACAGAGCCAUGGCAAGUGCAAUAGCUUGCCUGGUAAACUCAGGGCAGAAGUUUGAGUAGGAGGUGGACCCCAAUCCAUGUCCCCCACCAUUAAACAUGCAGCUGGAGGUUUUGGAGAGGUAGCACAGGAAAAUCCACUUAGCUCAGGGCCUCCCACCCAUAAACAGCUCAGGACGAUUGUGUUAUCAAUCAGCACCUCAUGGCUGCAGCGAGUGGAGUGAAUCUUGGGCUUAUUUCUGCCUGCCCUUUGCCAACUUGGCGCUGCCAACUAUUGCCACAGAGCCCCAGAGGGGUCCUCGGUGAGACAAUGAGGUUGAAUCUAAUCACCACUGUGAAGGGGUCAGAGAGCGCUCAUUAGCGAAAGCAUGAAGGCCAGAGUGCAGGGGCAGGGUGGUGGGGAAACGGAGGGAGGAGUCAGUAUGGCGGCUGAUCUGAUUUCCAGUGUCUCCUGCAACUGCCACCUCUGUGGACCCGGAGAGAGGGUGGGCAGGUGCCAGCUGGAGUUUGGCCUGGAGUCAGCAGACAGGGGCCUGGAUGUGGUUGUGGAGUUGGCAGGGCUGGAAGGGGGAGCCACUGGCCUGUGGCCUGCAGAUCCAACCCAUGGUGUCUCCUGUCUCGGUGACUCUCUUCUCACCCUUUCUUCUUCCUUCAGCUCUGGCCUCCUUCCGUCUUCUCCAGGGGCCUCUUUCACCUCUUCUCAGUCUCCUUCACGACCUGUCAGCUUUCUCCAAAGCACCACUCCGAACCUGGCCACUCUCUCUUCCUGUUGCUGUCUCUGUCUCUCUCUUGUCCCUUUUAUCUUAAAAGUAGGGAAACUGAAGCUUAGGUUAUUCCCUUGGCCCUGGGAAUAACCUCCCAACUGUGUACAGAUGCCUCCAGUGUCCACUCUGGCCUCCCCAUCUCCUGGUCAAGGCCACCAUCAAAGUCAUUGUCUUCACACAGUCUGACGG